rnacentral:tRNA from 1 species
ACAGGGAAUAGUUUAUUUAAAAUAUUAAUUUUGGAGAUUAAUGAAAGGAUUUUUCUUUUCCCUG